rnacentral:ncRNA from 1 species
CUGCGGUUUCGCAAGAAUCAAUAGAGAAGACGGUGCAAGUCCGUCACAACCGCCAUUACUGUAAUUAUUCGCAAGUCACGGCGUACGCCAUUGGAUUUUCCGAGAAGGUGCCGUGAUGCAUCGGGUGUUAAACCCCAUGAGGAUAUAAGUCAGGAGAACUGCCGCAGAGGUA